rnacentral:ncRNA from 1 species
UAGCCGGUGCAAGUCCGGCCGAGGUAAGAGCCAAGUCGCCUCGUAGCUGACGGGCAACUGGUGGAGAGAUCCUAAGGUUGAAGCCCCGUGACAAAGUAACUCCCAUAGGGAGUGCGAGCAAAACAGCAGGCCGUAACAUGA